GGCAUGCCACGUGCUGCCGUGGCGUUCCAUAUUUUGUGUGGUGCGUUCUGUCAGUCUGAGUAAGUAGAUUUCAUUGUGAGCUUUUGAUAUUUCCAUGGCGUGAAACGUGGAGAUGUUCUUAACCAUAAAUUGGUUUAUUUCCAGCUGGCAGAAACAUGCUAAGGGUGGGAGUGCUCCGUGGAGAUCCUCGGUCUGCAGUCUGCAGGUGUCCGGAGUCGGGAAGAAGUAGAGAAUUAGAGAAUUACAGAAGUAGAAUUUAACAAGAACUUUUACAAUUUUGAUGUGCAAGGAAACUUUCUUUGGCGUUACUGGCGCAAGGUGCCUUUGGACCUUGUUUUCGUAUGGAAGGGUCAGCCCUGUCCACGUGGCGAGGGGGCGUCAGCACCGGAGUCCGGGGAGCAGCCGGCUCAUCCCUGACAAGGUGUGUCUCCUGCCGUUUCCUGCCGGUAAUGCUGUGUAAUUCAGGUUUUAAUUUCUGUGUAAAGUAAUUUCUGAUUUCAUUUAUUUUGAGAAUUCUGGUGCAUAACUUUAGGUACAUUCAUAUUUAGUUUUUGUAGAAUAAAUGGUUGUAAGAAACCUUUUCCUGGACCCUCUUAAAGCGGCCCAGCUUUACCACUGAGCGUAGUUCAUAUUUUUAUAUGGUGUCUAAUUUAGUAUUUUGGGAAACAUUAAAUGAAACCUUUCUGUAAGGCAAGAGUUUUUUUAUAAUUAAUAAAUCUAUAAAAUGUUA